AGCUGCCUGAAGGAGGUAAGCAAGCAGCUGCAUCUUCCGGAAGCUUCCAGAUAUGCUUAACACAUCGUAGAUGGGCACGAAUGGGCCGCAUUCAAAUCCCGUACGUGUUAUAAGCUGAUCCGAGCUGGCGGAAAUUUUUCUCCUUGACAAAAACCUAGAUUUCUUAGACCAAAACAUUUUUAAAAUAAUUCUAAGGUCAUUCCUAUCUUAAGGCCCUAUAAUAAAUUUUUCGAUUAAUUUUCUCGUUCGACUAGGACGUUCUAGGCCGAACCGCGAGCAUUUUCAAUCCACUAAACUUCCCGAAGAAUUUAUUUCUUCAGAUGGAAAACUAUUCUAAGACUUUUUAAAUUUUUCUUAUGUACCUUGGGAUCCACAAACAUCCAC
rnacentral:lncRNA from 1 species